GCGACGGCGUCUCGUAAAUGUCAUGUAGAAUCUCCCACGCUGCUUCGUAACCCCAUUAGCCGCUAACACACCAGACGAGGAAUGUGAAGCUCACCAAGAAGGCUGUCCGCACGGAUGAGGAAGUUAACGAUGUGGAAUUCUCCGCUGGAAUCGAGCACGGAGCUGCGUCGGAUGACAGCUUGCAUCUCGGCACGGUCCUGAUCCGCAUCUCGACGGGACCGAGUUUCACCAAUCCGAGCACUGCCCUUGCGCGAUUCCAGACGUGAAAGGAGAGUGAUGUGCACCACCUGGAUAGUGUAGAGUGUAAGACGACAACUGAUUUCAACGAUUAAGAAUGACCUACCCUUAUCAGAAGAAGCGAAGAACUUCAGUGGUCUGUAAACUUCAGGCAGAGGAUGAGGUCAGCAUUGAAACAAACAUUAGC